rnacentral:lncRNA from 1 species
CACCAAGUUGAAGGAAGGGCUUUAUUUGGCCAGGAGCUUCGGCAAGACUCACGUCUCCAACAACCGAGCUUCCCGAGUGAGCAAUUCCUGUCCCUCUUAAGGGCUCACAACUCUAAGGGGGUCCACGUGAGAGGGUCGUGAUCGAUUGAGCAAGCUGGGGGUACGUGACUGGGGGCUGCAUGCAGCGGUAAUCAGAACACAACAGAACAGGACAGGGAUUUUCACAGUGCUUUUCCAUACAAUGUCUGUAAUCUACAGAUAACAUAACCAAUUAGGUCAGGGGUCGAUCUUUAACUACCAGGCCCAGGGUGUGGCCCCGGGCUGUCUGCCUGUGGAUUUCAUUUCUGCCUUUUAGUUUUUACUUCUUCUUUCUUUGGAGGCAGAAAUUGGGCAGAAGACAAUAGGAGGGGUGGUCUCCUCCUUAGUGGAAUGUAUGGGAUGGAAGUUAUUGUAGAAGUCCCAGUGGCCUGGGUCAAGGCCUGGACUUGAGGGAAAUACUUGCAGGUUUUCUGCCCCCUUUAAGAGGUUACAUUUCCAACUGGCAUUAAGAGCUGCAUACAAACUUAGAAACCAACCUUCAGGAAUGGGAGAUUAAUUUUCUCUUCUUGCCUUCCCUAGCACAAUAAUGCAUUUUGCAAAUACCUGGUGGGUUAAUUGACUGGAACCCUCUAAACUGCGUUUCCUAUGGCUCAGCUCUGGGCUACAGGUCUUCCUGGCAGAUUAUUAAGCAGAAUUAUCAAGCAGAAUGGCAUAAAGACAAUAGGACCUUAUUGUAUCACAUUUCGGGAAUGAGCAAUGAGGAAACAGGAGCCAAGCCUGGAAAUGAACAUGUCCUUGUAAAUGACCAGGAGAAGAUAGGAGUUAAAAUAUGUAGCCAUUAUGGUGCCAGAAAAUUGCCUGCCCUCUUUGAACGAACCGGUCUGCUCUGGGCUGAGCCAAGUGCUUCUUCCAUGUGCUCCUGUUGUCCUUUUUUUCUGCCUCUGACACUUACCUUCCAGCAUAAUUAUCAACUUGCAUGUCUACUUUCCCCACAUGGUGAGUUCUUAAAGGGCAGGGGCUAUGUCUUGUAAAUCAUUGUAUCCCUUGUUCUAGUAUGAUGCUCAGAAUGUUAUAAUACUAAUCGCUGUCAUAAUCAUAAUUAACAUCUAUAUAGUGCUUACUAUGUGCCAGGCUGUGUUCCAAGCACUUUGCCUAAUAACUCAUUUAAUCCUUACAACUCUUUCUAGCUAUGUGGGUUUAGGAAGUUAUUUUAACAUUUUGUAUCUCAGUUUCCUCAAUCAUAAUAUGGAGAUAGUAGUACCUACCUCGUAGCUACUUAUAAUAUGAGGGUGGCUUAACUAGUUAUUUUAUAUAUACAUACAUAUUCACAUACACGUGUAUGGAUACACAUGCAUCCAUGUACAUACAGUAGUACUCCCAUCUGCAGCUUCACUUUCCGUAGUUUCAGUGAUCUGCAGUACAAUAGAUAUUGAGAGAGAGAGAGAGAGAGACCACAUUCACAUAACUUUUAUUAUAGUAUAUUGUUACAGUUGUUCUCUUUUAUUAUUAGUUAUUGUUGUUAAUCUCUUAGUGUGUCUA